ACACUCUCUCUUCCUCCUGAUUAACCUGCCCCCCAUUCAUGCCCUCCUCUUCUGUGAUUUAAUCACAAGAAUUUCUUAUCUUUGUUUGUGCAGGUCCUUUUUGUGUAUGCCUACAAGUUGUUCGAUAAAAAUCCAAGCAGGUUGUAGGAGAAGGUAUGCUUAGUAACGUCAAAGAGAUGCCGCCCAUUACAAAUUAUGAUAUUCAUCAUUACACAUUAGCACCACCAUGGAUAGCCAAGAUCCUUCCCAGCCAUGAUAAUCAGAGUGAACUUUGCUGUCAUUUUCGUCUAUCCAUCCAGAGGAAGUAGAUGAUUGAUAGAGAUUCGGAGGAAGCAAUUAAUAAAUGAAGAUCUCGAGGCUCCUAUUUCUUCAGAUUCAUUGCUAGCCCCACAAAGGAAGAGGAUGCCAGGACGAGGACUGUAAUCAAUCCCCGCCUUACUUUCCCAACG